AAUAGUUUACUUUAUAGACAAAUCUAUAUUUUCUAGAUGCAUACAAGUAAAAGACUGACAUUUCACCAAGAUGUAGGGGAAUAUACAUUGAAUCAAAUAAAGAAUGAUCUAGAGGUUUUCUAAAACACAGAUCUGUAAAACAUAUGUUUAAACAUUAUUUAUGGUAAUAGACUCCACAGCUGCUUCUAUAAGAGGUUGAAGUCACAUUUCUCAACUAGCUCAUUAGUCAGACGCGUGGAGAACUCAAAACAGACAGAUUUGUUUGAAAUGAAUCAAGAAUUUACAUAUCAAGACUGUAAUUGUUCUGGCAGAUAUUUUGGAUUCAAACGUGUGGUUUUAAGACAGGAUUUGCUUUAAAUUUAGACCUUUACCAAUAAAAGCAAUUUACACCAUUUGUACAAUUAAUGGAUUCUUGUAUCUAAAUUCCAAUUAAAGGAAGGGACAUUGUGUAUAUUUAUCAGAAUAAAUUAGUUGUGCUCGCAGCUCUGGGGGAUAGACUCAUUCCAUGGAAGGAGGUUUGCAAUUGCGUGUCUAAUGAAAAACACUGCACCUCUCAAACCCCUGUCCAUCAACGUCAGCCAAUGGCUCAGACAGUUUCGUUUGAUUUGCAGCUAAGUAGGCGGUGAAGAUGAGUCAAAGAGAGGAGGAGACCCUCAGUAGACGGCACAAAGCUUAAUCUCUCUUUCAAAACACGACAGGGAUCGAGGAAAUGGGAUCCAUGGCUGCUUCUAUGAGGAACAGAUGUUUGAAACACAGCUGGUGACCCUCUGAAACAUUAGCCCAGGCCGAACGGUUACACAAGCACACAGAUGUACACACACAGUCACUGAUGUGGAAAGAAAGAGUGGCUUAAGGGCAAAAAACUCAAUAAUUCGACAUAGUCGUGAUGGCAAGCCGCUACCUCCAGCUAUGACUGCGGGACAGGAAAUGACCCGGGAUAUACAUACAUUGUAAUUGGAUCAAAGGCUGUGGUCUUUGUGCCACCAGAAUCAAAUCUCUCAGACAAACAGGAUAAAUCCUUCCUUUCAUUGCAAUUUAUCCCUUAAAAGCUCACUGGUUCAAAUAUGAUACAAAACCGAUGAAGUGAGAAGUGUGCAUUUGUCUCUAUUAAAAAAACGGAACUGUUUUUGUAGCCAACCCUUGAUUAUUUUAUGUAAAUCAUUUCCCAUAAACCUGACCCCCCAAAAAAGCCAGACACUUUCCCUUAGACUAGCAUUUGCUAGUACAAAGUCACAUUUGUGCUUUAACCUAAUCCAAUCACUCACAGUAAUUACCUUAUGAAUUUUCUGAGGCCCAUUAAACAAGAACAGCACCCCAUUAUGUAGGACUGGGGAAUAAUUUAAUACAUCUAAAUACAUCAAAGCCUACUGCUUUACAGAUGCCGAACUGUGGGGCCGAAUUGAGCAAAUGUGCCGCAAGGAUUUAUGAGCAUGAUAGCAAUAGUCACCCUUCACCUAUAUCUUAUAUCAUGCUGGACACAGAGCGCUUUUAUACAACACAUCAGUCAUAUAGAUGUUAUUACUCUGAAUUUACACCGAAAGAUUCCAGCAACCAGCCAAAAAUAACUAGUUCUAGGUGUUUGUUUUAAUAUUCCUACAGUGGUAGAAACAAAACUUGGCCUGAUGAAGCUUCGACGUCAAACGGAUGCUGUGCAGUUCAUACAGGUGUCAGUGUUGAGUCUGUGAUUGUAAUUCGAAAGGAAGAGCUUCUCUGUGAGAAACCACAUGUGCUGAAACUUCACAUGCACUCAUCAAUACCGUUGAGAGAUGCUGGACAAAACCGAAGGCCAGAUCUUUGUUCACCGAAUCCUUGAGCUUUCCUGAUGCUACAAAGGAUAAAAAGACAGCAUUUGAAGCACUUGCUUUAACCGGAAGGUUAUGUGGAAACAGUUGUCAUGGCAACAUCUUACCAGCCUCCGGUACUCCUGCAUCCCUUCUCCAUCCCUAAAUCAUUCACCCCGGUGAAUUGUGUGUAAUUAAAACACACUCACACCGCCGGAGACGCUUCAUGCUUCCUCAGUUUAUAAAAGUGCUCUGGGCCCCUUUGGGUCUUUGAAAUGGGUUGGACAUGGUGGGCUGUUUUCAAAUGAAAAUGACUGUAUAGGUCAAAAAAAAAAAAAAAAUGUUUCUCUUACAGUUACAAUUUAUUAUGUCAAAAGUGCAAGAUACAAAAGUUAAUGUAUGUAUAUUAUAUUGGUCAAAUAUGUUAGUUUAACGACCAUUUAUACAACUGUAUUUAUAAAACAUGUAAAAUUUUAAUGAAUUAUUAAUUUAUUUGGCAAUUAGCAAUACAAUAGGCAGGAUAAUAACAAUCAGCCACUCAUUAUUGUAAAAGAAACCCCAUUUGGGACAAUUCAUAUCUUAGUCCAGCCUGUUUUAUUAUUAUUAUUAUUAUUAUUAUUAUUAUUAUUUUGUGAUUAUGACUGGCUGACUUUGAAUUAGAUAAAAAAUAAAUAAAAUAUAAAAUAAAUAAAUUCAACUUUCAAAUACAUACAUACAUACAUAUUUUUAUAUUAUAUACAUAUUGCCAUGACAUUAUUAUAUAGGAAUAUUUUAUAAUUUUCACACACACUCUCUCUCUC
ensembl:lncRNA